rnacentral:tRNA from 1 species
GCCUGGCUGGCUCAGUUUGGUAGAGCAUAUGACUCUUGAUCUUGGGGUUGUAAGUUCGAGCCCCAUGUUGGGCG